UUUGAACCCAGUAUCUCCAGAGACCCUAACCCCUCGUCAAUUCUCACCAAAUCAAAUUCCUUCCCCAAAUCAUUUCCAUCACCCUAGUUAACGUCCUCCGCCUCGGACAUACAUCAACCCCUCCACUCGAACAUCGCUAUUUAGGGUUAACAUCCACCAGAUCCAUUCAAUUGAAGCAGAGGUACAGAUCCUCAUAAUAACCACAGAUCGAUUCCCGUACAACCGAUUUUUUAGGAUCGAUUCUCAGUUGAAUUAAGGAUCGAUUCUCAGUUGAAGGAGAGGUAGUUGUUUGCCCUAUCACCACAACCGCUAAAAUAAUCCUCCUAAUUACCUCCUAUUUUGUUUAAUCUCGUGAUCUGCUCUGCGUUUCGUCGAUUUCUUCGUGCGGUCGGCUCUCUUGCAGUCGGUUCUUCGGUUUGGACGAUCUCAAUUCGGAUUUUGGAGCCCUAGAUGUCCCCUGGUGUAAGAUCCGUCACUAUUUGAUGUUAUGUGGUUUGAUUUUGUCUGAUUUGUAUUAAUAUGAUAGUUUGAUUACUGUUUCGCUAGAAUGUUUUUGUUGAUAUGCCCUGUUAUUAUUAGGAUAUAGUUAAGAGUAGUUUUAGUGUAGUUAUUGGUUGGUUUGGUAAGAUUAUGAGAUGACUGUGCUAUUAGGAAUGUGAUUAGGCCUGUAAUUAGGAGUAUCUAGUAUUUCUCUGCUUGUAUUGUAGAAUGUGAGUAUGUGAAUGUAAUAUGAGGUUGUGUUUGAACUGUGAUUGAUCUGAAUUUUACAUUUUUUGUGAUGGAAAUGUUGAUUGUUUAAUUUAUAGGAGUAAGUUUGUGACGGAAAUGUUGAUUGUUUGUGUGAGAUAGAUGUUUGUUUAUUGAUACAUGAAGCUGUUUGUAAGUAGUAGAUAGAUGAGGGUUAUGUUGUGUACCUGUGAUGCUUGGUAUCCACAAAGUGAUUAGACACAAUUCCAUUUCAAUGGUUUAAUUUUGGUUUAGUAUUUUAGUAAUAACUAGAACCAUUUCAACUUCACUCUCCAAAAAGAAAUCCACCAACCACCAGCACCAGCACCACCACAAUGGCGGAAAAUCCAAGUCGAAAGCAUCGUCGCAUAAAGCGCCUUCGUCGCCAUUGACGCCACCGAAAGUCAAGGCUCCGUUAGCUCCACCGGCCUGGCAGCUCCACCGGAAAAUGAUAACGACGGUGGCCCUGUUACGGACGCUGCCGCAACGUAUAAUGUGUUGGAUUUUGGUGCCAAAGGGGAUGGUAGUUCUGAUGAUACAAAGCUUUCAAGACUAAAGUUCCUCGCAGUGGGAACAUUGCUAAGCUUAAGCUGUUCAGAGAUUGGAAGAAGGAGGCUGCACACAUGUUGAAAUAUCCUGAUGGACAAAUGAUAAGCCUUGGAAUUGGUGAUGCCACCGAGCCUCGCUAAGCAAGCGCUACUAGAAUAAAUGGGUAGCUACCAAAAUUUGAUGCUUUAAAAUACGGUGGCUUUUUGUUACCGAAGAAGAUAUUAAGAGCUUACCUUGCUUCCAGGUAUGUGUUGAAUAUAGUGAAUUGGCUUGAAUAUAGUGAAUUGGCUGAUGCAGCGACAAUAAGGAGUAAGGGAAGGGAACAACUAUGAAGUUGGAAAUACGAUCGCUAAGAAAGAGUUGACACAAUGAAUAUUUUACUCGCAUGAAUAUUGUGAAAGAGAUUCAUGAACGCAAUGGAGUUUUGAGUUUUUGUUCAAACAUUUUUUAAAUAUUUGUUUUGAAUGUUUGAUGUUUAGAGUUAGGUUGACACUUAUUAGUAUUCUAUUUGCAAACAUUUGGAAUCUUUGGAAGAUGAUUGAUUGAACUUUUUAAUUGAAUUGAUUAUAUUAUUAUGAUU
rnacentral:lncRNA from 1 species